AGCAGCCGCGGUAAUUCCAGCUCCAAUAGCGUAUAUUAAAGUUGUUGCAGUUAAAAAGCUCGUAGUUGAAUUUCGGGAUCAGUUUGUUGGUCGUGCUUCGGUACGUACUGUCAUUACUGGUUUCUACCUUCUGAAGAACCUUGAUGUCAUUAAUUUGGUGUCUUGGGGAAUCAGGACUGUUACUUUGAAAAAAUUAGAGUGUUUAAAGCAAGCAUACGCUUGAAUACAUUAGCAUGGAAUAAUGAAAUAGGACGUUUGAUUCUAUUUUGUUGGUUUCUAGGAUCGACGUAAUGAUUAAUAGGGAUAGUUGGGGGCAUUAGUAUUCAAUUGUCAGAGGUGAAAUUCUUGGAUUUAUUGAAGACUAACUACUGCGAAAGCAUUUGCCAAGGAUGUUUUCAUUAAUCAAGAACGAAAGUUAGGGGAUCGAAGACGAUCAGAUACCGUCGUAGUCUUAACCAUAAACUAUGCCGAUUAGGGAUCGGAUGAUGUAUUUUAAUGACUCAUUCGGCGCCUUACGGGA
rnacentral:rRNA from 1 species